ACGGACACAUCACGUUGAAACACCGGUUCCCGUACGAUCACCGAAGUUAAGCAACGUUGAGCUUAAUCAUUACCUCGUUGGGUGACGGGUUAGGAAUACCAGGUGUUGUAAG